rnacentral:rRNA from 1 species
UUCGGCUCCCGCUAUCGGAUGAGGCCUAUGUCGGAUUAGCUGGUUGGUGAGGUAAAGGCUCACCAAGGGCGACGAUCCGUAGCUGGUCUGAGAGGAUGAUCAGCCACAUCGGGACUGAGACACGGCCCGAACUCCUACGGGAGGCAGCAGUGGGGAAUAUUGGACAAUGGGGGGAACCCUGAUCCAGCCAUGCCGCGUGUGUGAAGAAGGCCCUCGGGUUGUAAAGCACUCUCAGUGAGGAAGAACGCCUGGUGGUUAAUACCCAUCAGGAAAGACAUCACUCACAGAAGAAGCACCGGCUAACUCCGUGCCAGCAGCCGCGGUAAUACGGAGGGUGCGAGCGUUAAUCGGAAUUACUGGGCGUAAAGCGCGCGUAGGUGGCUUGAUAAGCCGGUUGUGAAAGCCCCGGGCUCAACCUGGGAACGGCAUCCGGAACUGUCAAGCUAGAGUGCAGGAGAGGAAGGUAGAAUUCCCGGUGUAGCGGUGAAAUGCGUAGAGAUCGGGAGGAAUACCAGUGGCGAAGGCGGCCUUCUGGACUGACACUGACACUGAGGUGCGAAAGCGUGGGUAGCAAACAGGAUUAGAUACCCUGGUAGUCCACGCCGUAAACGAUGUCGACCAGCCGUUGGGUGCCUAGCGCACUUUGUGGCGAAGUUAACGCGAUAAG